AAGUCUUUACGGAGAAAGCUUUAUGCACCAUUGGAUGAGCCUGCACUUGAUUAGUUUGUUGGUGGGGUAAUGGCCUACCAAGACUUUGAUCAAUAGCUGAUUUGAGAGGAUGAUCAGCCACAUUGGGACUGAGACACGGCCCAAACUCCUACGGGAGGCAGCAGUGGGGAAUCUUGCACAAUGGAGGAAACUCUGAUGCAGCGAUGCCGCGUGAGUGAAGAAGGCCUUUGGGUUGUAAAGCUCUUUCGUCGGGGAAGAAAAUGACUGUACCCGAAUAAGA
rnacentral:rRNA from 1 species